AGAGUUUGAUCCUGGCUCAGGACGAACGCUGGCGGCGUGCCUAAUACAUGCAAGUCGAGCGGACAGAAGGGAGCUUGCUCCCGGAUGUUAGCGGCGGACGGGUGAGUAACACGUGGGUAACCUGCCUGUAAGACUGGGAUAACUCCGGGAAACCGGAGCUAAUACCGGAUAGUUCCUUGAACCGCAUGGUUCAAGGAUGAAAGACGGUUUCGGCUGUCACUUACAGAUGGACCCGCGGCGCAUUAGCUAGUUGGUGAGGUAACGGCUCACCAAGGCGACGAUGCGUAGCCGACCUGAGAGGGUGAUCGGCCACACUGGGACUGAGACACGGCCCAGACUCCUACGGGAGGCAGCAGUAGGGAAUCUUCCGCAAUGGACGAAAGUCUGACGGAGCAACGCCGCGUGAGUGAUGAAGGUUUUCGGAUCGUAAAGCUCUGUUGUUAGGGAAGAACAAGUGCAAGAGUAACUGCUUGCACCUUGACGGUACCUAACCAGAAAGCCACGGCUAACUACGUGCCAGCAGCCGCGGUAAUACGUAGGUGGCAAGCGUUGUCCGGAAUUAUUGGGCGUAAAGGGCUCGCAGGCGGUUUCUUAAGUCUGAUGUGAAAGCCCCCGGCUCAACCGGGGAGGGUCAUUGGAAACUGGGAAACUUGAGUGCAGAAGAGGAGAGUGGAAUUCCACGUGUAGCGGUGAAAUGCGUAGAGAUGUGGAGGAACACCAGUGGCGAAGGCGACUCUCUGGUCUGUAACUGACGCUGAGGAGCGAAAGCGUGGGGAGCGAACAGGAUUAGAUACCCUGGU
rnacentral:rRNA from 1 species